rnacentral:lncRNA from 1 species
UCUCGGCUCACUGCAACCUCCGCCUCCCGGGUUCAAGCGAUUCUUCUGCCUCAGCCUCCAGAGUAGCUGGGAUUACAGGCACCUACAACAGAAGACAAUCCAUAAAUGACCAUGUGAUGGGUGCUCCAUCAAUGAUGAAAGGAAUGAAUGAGUACCUUUUAUGGCAUGGUGGGAGGUGGAGGUGGCGGGAGCACUUGAAGGUGGAGGAGAUUGGUACAUGCCUGCCCCUUGUGACUGAAUCUGGAACAGGUGCACGUUUCUGCCUGCUUCGUGAAGCAAACUGCCAAAGUCGAACCAAGGCCAGUCACACUGCAGGGCCCUCAUCUCUUUUCUUGAGAGAGUCCAAAGACUGUGGGACUGGGCCUGCUGGUCUGCUGGUGUUCUCCCAUCUCUGCCUCUGAGCACCCUGCUGGAAAGGCUACCCUGAGAUGUUGGUGGACUGGAUCUCUGAUCUAGAAAAAACUGCUCAGAGGCAAAAGCUACAAGAGGCACGUUCUGGCAUGAAUGAUACUGGCUCUUCCGGCCCCCAGAUUGCAGAUCCACAGAGAAGACUAUGGGUAAAAGAUGACCCCAGGUAUAGAACUUCAUCUUAGGAAGAGAUCACCCAACCAGAGACUUCUUACACAUCAUUUAGUUGAUUUUAGUUAACGAGAGCAUGGAAGAUGUUGGAAUAAUUGCUAACAAUCCUGGCCAGGGAAAUUAGGAAGCCCAUCCUCUAAUUAAAAUUUAAUGUAGAGGAACUGACCAUCAUGAAUGAAUGGACUCAAUUCCUUGAGAAGAAGACAGAUAAUUUCAAACUAUUUCCUAGAACAAGUAAAGGCACACAGUUGUACAGAGUGAGGAGGUUUCCCUAGGCAAGAUUGGUGGCAGCCUCAAGAUGUAUGGGGCCGGAGGCUGUUAUAUUCUCACUGGGUGAGAGAAAUGGAUAGGGAAUGAUAAUGAUGAAUGAGUUUUCUUUCAAAGUACUCACUAAGGGAGGCUCUCCAUUUUCUUUUUCCUCACUAAAGUGCCUCAAAAUGCUUAAAGAAUUCCACUUUGGAAUUACUUCCAAACUAGUUUAUAUUUUCUAUCCCGUGACUCUACAAUUGCACCUCAUUUUUAACCAAAAAAUCAUUUCCUGCUUCAUCAACCACCUUAUUCAUCAGAUGUGGCCCUGGAUGAUUUUUGGUUCUUUCCAAAAAUGAAAUUCAACCUCAAAGCUUAAAGAUUUAUGCUAUCACAUCUCCUGAAGAAAUGUGCCAUCAACUCUGAAGAUGAAGAGGAGUUCCAGAUAUAUUUUGGUAUUGAAAAAAAUUUACGUCUCAUUAUUUUGCCAUCUCAUACAUUUUCAUAUCUUCUUGUCUUAUAUUGCUUUGAAGAUGAAACUCAGAUCUGUAUAAAGUAUUUCAAGCAUAUUAACCAAAGAGUUGUGCUUAAUCCAGCCAUCUGUAACUAAAUUUCUGUCUCUAUAGUAUCUUGGAAAAAAGAAAGAAAGUGAAAAGGCAGGUUGAGAAAAAAUAGAAGUGCAUAUAAUUAAAUCAUGAAAGAGUGAUGGAUA